rnacentral:rRNA from 1 species
GACGAACCGUGCGAACGUUGUUCGGAAUCACUGGGCUUAAAGGGCGCGUAGGCGGGCUCGCAAGUCAGGGGUGAAAGCCCGCGGCUCAACCGCGGAAGCGCCUUUGAUACUGCGGGCCUCGAGGGGGGUAGGGGCGUGCGGAACUUCCGGUGGAGCGGUGAAAUGCGGUAGAUAUCGGAAGGAACACCGGUGGCGAAAGCGGCGCGCUGGACCCCUUCUGACGCUGAGGCGCGAAAGCCAGGGGAGCAAACGGG